rnacentral:tRNA from 1 species
UGCAACUUAGUUUACCUAGAACACUCAACUUGCACUUGAGAAGAGAGAUCUCUCAGUCGCAG